CACUAAUCUACCUAAAUUUCGUUUGGGAGACGUGCACAGACUGGCACAAAAGCUUUCGGCCACACCAGCCUCCAAACUCCACAAAGAUUACAAGUUUUUUGUGGAACAAUACCUUUUCGAUUAUGAAGAUAAUGGAGAAAUACUGGCUGAAGGGUGUUUCCAAAAGGCUGAAGAAGAUACAUGAUGCCCGGGUUGAGCAAGAGGUCGUCAUUGUCCAAGGAGAGGAAAAGGACUUCAUGAACAUUUAUAUAAAUGAGGAUAAAAGGGGUUAUCUUUAAUAACUCUAUCAGCCUGGUGCCGUGACGCGGAUCCCAACAUAUCAGCUCGCUGACGAGAGGAGCAACGCGCUGAAACCAACCGGUGGUCUGAGUCAAGGACCUGUCUAAAGUCCCGGGAGGUAAUUUCCUCGCUGGGCCAGCGUCAUAGGUUAACUCCUUUCGCCAACGAGGGAUUGAAGGGAUCUGACCGGGAGAAAAGCACACCA